ACACAGACCCUGUUGAGCUGAACUAGGGCGGAGGUGGGGGCGGGGGGCGGGUGCGGAAGCGCGAUGCGGGGGGCGGGGGGGGCGCAAAACAGAACCCGGCGGACAGAACCAGGCCACCUCUGUGCCUUUCAUUUUCCUGGCUCCCCAAUUAAGAAACGUCAAAAUGGGCUGGAAUUCUUUUUAACGGAGUGCUCUCUGUAGGAAGUGGCGAGGGUGGAUUCGAUGCCUCAAGGAUGUAAGGACUCGAUCUCUGCACAGCUGAGCAUUUGUGAUGGAAAGACACGUACCACAGCUCCAACCAUCAGGCCUACCAUCAGAGCAAGAAAAGGUGGAAGGACCCCUUCAGCCCAGCAGUUUCUGCUUGGGUCUCGGGGCCCGGAGCUUGAGCGGCUGCAGGAGAGGUUGGGAAAAUAAGGAACAGCCUGGAAAACAGACUUGAGGCCUGGAGCAUCACCUGCCAUCUUGGACCAUGAGGUGACCUCGAAGAUGGAAGCUAUAUGCUGAGUACAGUAGGACAAAAAGAGAAGAGACUGUGUCCCCAGUGACAUCCAAAGAUCCUAUACCAUUCAUGGACAGCCUACUUUCAGAUGUCCUUUACCCGAGAGAAAUGGGAGAGAAAAUUCUACCUUGUUAUUUGUUAGGGGGAGGAGGUUGUUGUUUGUAGCCAAACUUACUUGUAACUGAUACAGCAGCAUAAAGUCCUUCCAACGAUUCUUCAUUCUUUAACUUAUUUAAGAUAGCACAGCCCAGAAUGCGAGUAACAUACUCCACUCCAAGGUAAGAAUGGACCCACUUACAGGGCUAUAGCCUAACAGGUGCUGCUGCCACUUACCUCAUCUGUCCAAUGGGUACACCAAGUGUACAUUUCUAUCGAGAGACCUCAGAGGUCGCAGAUUAGCCAAACCCAUUCCAUAAGCAUGUUUUGAUUAACCAGCUCAUUUGUUUAUUUUAUUACUAAUACUGUUGUCACUACUUUUUUUUCUAUUUACUUAGUAUACUUGAAUUAUGGUGAAGGGGCACACACUCUCCAGUCUCCCAUGAUCCACCCACUCUGUAUUUUCUCAGACUGAGUGCUUCACAUAGGUACAGAACCUACUGUGCUCCUGAAGGCAUUAAUGAGAACUACCCUUUGAAAUGAGUCUUUCAACCUGGGACUUUACAAAUAAUGGAAGUGGAGAGGAUUCAAGAAUGUUUCAGCGUGCACUAUGCAAUGAUUCACUAACAAUGAACUGAAAGAUGAAUGUAUUGAUAAGAGGCAAUGAAUAAUAUACCCCAUGGCUCCAAUGUUCAUUUCUAAUUUCUCUCCAUUAAGAGAAAGCCUUAGGAUGUGAUUAAGAAGUGUUUCUCUGUCCCGUUGGACUUGAAUUCCAACUGCGUUAGAGUCAGUGUUUUCCUGUACCUGGACUUCAAGGAUCUUCAGUCUGUAUUUAUCAACUCUAGACUGUUCAUUAUUGGGGUGUCUGGGUGGCUCAGUCAGUUAAGCAUCAGACUCUUGAUUUUGGCUCAGGUCACGAUCUCGGGGUCGUGAGAUUGAUCCACAUGUGGGGCUCCACACUGAGCGUGGAGCCUGCUUGGGAUUCUCUCUCUCUCUCUCUCUGCACCCCCACCCCACUGCUUGCACGUGCGCUUGCUCUCUCUAAAAAUAAAUAGAUAGAUAGAUAGAUAGAUAGAUAGAUAGAUAGACCGUUCACUUAUCAACUAUAAGUCCAGACUUCUAACUACUGUUACUUCCCAGUUGCCGCUGAAUAGAUUGUACAACCUGGAACAGAAGUUGGUCCCACUUGAACAGAAGCUCUUUGAGGCCAGAAAUCUUGUCUGUCUUUCUCACCACUGUCUCACCAACACCAAGCAUACAGGGCCUGGAGCAGAGCAGUCACCCAGGGCCUCAGGCACACUUGUGCAGGUUGUUUUCAAGAGUGCUGGCCAAGGGGAGAGAGCAGGGUAGCCUGGAUGAAACCACAGCACCUCCUGCUCACCAAGGGUGCACCCUGGUGGGGGCUACUUCCAUUUGGAAAAGGAGGCCUUUUCUAAUUGUGCAAAGGUCCGAGGGUGAGCAUUUUUGUGUUCCUUGUAGAGUGGCAACAGUUCCGACAGGCUCUCAAAACAUGCACACUCCUUCUGUGAGCAAUCUGGAAUUCAGGCCACAGCCUCCGACUGCCCCAGGAAAAACUAUUGUGUCCCCUGCAUCACAGUGUUCUGCUUAGCCAUGGGACAAUUUUUAGACUACCUCAUGUGGAUCUGUAGUUGAUCCAUUUGUAAGGUGAAAAAGAAAACCACUGAAAAAUCUAUGUCCCCGGGGAACUUUCCGAGGUGAUAAUAAUGUCCUCUAUCUGGAGCAGAGUUUGGGAUACACAGGUGUAUGUAUUUGUCAAAACUCAUGGAAUGGGGCGCCUGGGUGGCUCAGUUGUUAAGCGUCUGCCUUUGGCUCAGGUCAUGAUUCCAGGGUCCUGGAAUUGAGCCCCGCAUCGGGCUCCCUGCUCAGCGGGAAGCCUGCUUCUCCCUCUCCCACUCCCCCUGCUUGUGUUCCCUCUCUCUUUCUCUCUCUCUCUCUGUCAAAUAAAUAAAUAAAAUCUUAAAAAAAAAAAAAACACAACAACUCAUGGAAUGGUCCACUUAAGAUUUGUGCAUUAUUAUCUUGUAUGUAAAUGUUACCUCAAGGGAAUAAAUUGAACUGUAAGCAAUAUUACAGUUAACUUUAUGCAAACUUAAAUAUUUAGGAGGAAAUGCACUGAUGUGUGCAAGCUGCAUUGAAAUUCAGCACGCAUUGCAUGGAGCACUGGGUGUUAUAUGCAAGCAAUGAAUCAUGGAACACUACAUCAAAAACUAAUGAUGUACUGUAUGGUGACUAACGUAACAUAAUAAAAUUAAAUUAAAUUUAAAAAAAUAAUAAGAUUGAGUGAUGAAUGGGUAAAGAGAGAGAUGGCUAAUGUCAUUCAUCAAGUGCAGUAAACUAUUAAUUAUAGAAUCUAGGUGGUGAGUCUAUGGGUGUUUCCUGUAAAAUUCUUUCAAAUGCUCUGUGUUUGAAAUUUUUCAAAAUGAAACAUUGGGGAGAAAAACGCUAUGCCCCAUUGUAGCAGAGGAGAUUAUUGUCCCCACUCUUUACUCCCUCCCUUUAUUGAAAUUAGAUCUUCACGCCCUUUGCUAUGUGACUUUGUA